rnacentral:rRNA from 1 species
UACGUAGGGACCGAGCGUUGUCCGGAAUCAUUGGGCGUAAAGAGCGUGUAGGCGGCUUGUUAAGUCUUGCGUGAAAUCUCGGGGCUCAACCCCGAGCGGUCGUGAGAAACUGGCAGGCUAGAGUGCGGGAGAGGAGAGUGGAAUUCCUGGUGUAGCGGUGAAAUGCGUAGAUAUCGAGAGGAACACCUGCGGCGAAGGCGGGUUGCUGGGCUGAUACUGACGCUGAGGCGCGAAAGCCAGGGGAGCGAACGGG